UACGUAGGGGGCUAGCGUUGUUCGGAAUCACUGGGCGUAAAGCGCACGUAGGCGGAUGUGUCAGUCAGGGGUGAAAUCCCGGAGCUCAACUUCGGAACUGCCUUUGAUACAGCACGUCUUGAGUCCGGAAGAGGUGGGUGGAAUUCCUAGUGUAGAGGUGAAAUUCGUAGAUAUUAGGAAGAACACCGGUGGCGAAGGCGGCCCACUGGUCCGGUACUGACGCUGAGGUGCGAAAGCGUGGGGAGCAAACAGG
rnacentral:rRNA from 1 species